ensembl:lincRNA Gm42523 predicted gene 42523
ACAGGGCUUGCAAGACAGAGACAGGGCAGGCAUGGGAAGGUAAGAAGCUAAACAAACAAACAAACACACACACACACACACACGAGCACACAAACAUAUCAAAGGAGCAAGGUCAGAGCCAAGUGACAUCUUCAAGAUGGAAUUAAACUUCCCUAAAAAAACGAACAAGAUGACUGGCCAUUUAUAAAAUCUUUACAGCUUUUAUAAAGAGAAAAGUGUCCAGGUCAUAAACCAAAAAUAUGAGGGAGAAACAAAACAUGGGUUUCCUAGAGGAAAGAAACCACAAAAGCUACAGCUGGAUUGCUGGUGGGGUCAGCUGUUCAGAGAAAAGUGGCUCCAUUGUGGAGCUAACAGACAGUUGACAGUCCCUAGAGCCAAGGAGCCAGAAGCCCUGUGGAUAAUAAAUCUACUUCAGAACCUACAGACUUAAUAGAAGUGGUCACCCGGAAGGGAGUGCCAAGACCUUGAAACUUGGCACCGAGCAUGGCUGUUAGGAUGUGGUGCUGUGGAUCAAGCUUCUUCCUCACCCAUGACUACAUGAUGUGUGUGUGCAGGCUCAGGAGUGACCACUGAGCCUGAAGACUCACUCUCUGGAGCUGUGAGACUCUCUGGAGCUGAGUUACAGGAAGUUGUGAACUGACCAGCACAGGUCCUGGGAACUAAACUCAGGGACACUGGAAGAGCAGCAGCCACUGAAUUAUCUUUCUAGCCCCAGAAAGUUAUAUUCCUAGAGAUAUAAAAAUUACUCUCUAAAUUACCCAGUGCAUGAGUAAGAAUGCUCAGUGGAAGAAAGGAACAAUUCUUUUUGUAAUAUUUUUUUUUAAAAAUUGCCUGCAAUUUGCCCUGGAUAGAAGGGACCCAUCUGCAAUUUGUUCAAGUGAGGCACUGCCUCAGACCCUGGUCUCUAUUAACACUUGCUGAUAACAGGAAUUGUAGCUGACUGUCAUUAAACCGUAUUCGAUUUCCACUUCAAUCUUUGUGUCAAGUGCCAAGGUGAAGAGAAUUCUGAUGUCAGAGAAAAGUUAUAGACGAGUUUCUCUGAGCUUCCAAGACUCAGGGCACUACCCUGCCUGUUGUGUUCUACGGGACUCUCACGGCUUUCACCCAGCCCUCAGUGCCUCUGCACAUCUCUUCCCAUCUCCCCAUGAUGGCUGCUUCACUUUUCAAAGCCUAUGCUCCUGCAAAGCCUGCCACACUCUGCCCAGCUUCCGGUAGCCCUUUUCCGGUUUCAGAUACCUUUUCUCUGACAUCUUCUUCCUCACAGUUCUUGCCAUUAUUCUUGUUCCCUUUACAUGUGGACAACCAAGGAGUCAAUGUCUGGCUCGGUGUCACUCACCCACCUCCAAUGACCCCUCCUCCACCCUGUCUUAGCCAGUCAUUCAUUAUCACCCCGUUGUCAAUGCCUGCCUCCCUGUACACCACAGACCACCCCAGUCACUCUUGUUAACAGACACAACACAAGAUGACAGGACCAAAAGAAAGGAAGUAUGAAAGAUAGGAGAAGAAAUCCAAGGUGACUUCAAGACACAAAUCAAAAACGGUAUGAAGAAACCUCACAAGUGGAAGAUGAUGGUGAAAAGCCAGACUCCCCUCUCUGCCAUGACAUCCAGAUCACCAGCCUUGGUGAAGGGUGAUGAGCUGUGGGGAGGAGUGGUUAAGAGCAUACACUGCACCAAAGAUGAUCGCUGUUCAUUCCAGCGCCUAUGGCCAAAGCUCCUGUAACUCAAACACUGGCCCCCAGAAGUGCCUGCACUGGUGCGCACAGACAGACCAACAGUUAGGUGGAUGGAUGGACGGACAGACAGAUGGACAGACAGACAGACAUACACACACUUUAAAAUAAAAUAAAUCUUUUUAUAAAGAGCGGCCACAGAAGGAGGGAAGACAACACGGAGUGAGCUGAGAGCUCUGUGGAGCAUCCCCUUGCAUCCAGUGAGCCUGGCCACCACACCAGAUGCCAGCCAAGGAAAGGGUUGAGUAUCAGAUGCUAAUGGUGAGGAUAUAGAACAUGUCCCCAUCGCUGACUAUGCCUAUGUGCAUUGUCAUGCCCAGUUUCUGGAAUGUGCUAUAGACAGGCUCUGUCAUUUUUACUAUAUGUCUGGAUUUUUGACAUUUUUCUGAUGAAAAGGAACUGUUCUUAUAUAAUUUGUGGCAUGCAGUGUAUUCUAGUUUGCUUUUUAACUUUUGGGAUAUGCUUGGCAUCAAGCACAGGUUCUCAUUUAUGUUAUACAUACUACAUACUCUCUAAAUUACUGCCUGCUGUGUCUGAGGCUUUCCCUGCCUUGUAACUCUUUACCUGACAGAGAAAAUGAGCCUCAUUAAACCUCCUAGAAAGUAACAUUAACAGUUAGGAGAAGUGUGAUGGCUUGUAUGUUUGGUCCAGGGAGUAGCACUAUUAAGAGGUGUGGCCUUGUUGGAGUAGGUGUGUCACUGUGGGCAUGAGCUUUAAUACACUCAGCCUAGCUGUCUGGAAGCCAGUCUUCUCUUAGCUGCCUUCAGAUGAAGAUAUAAAACUCUCAGCUCCUCCUGCACCAUGCCUGUCUGGAUGCUGCCAUGCUCCCGCCUUGAUGAUAACAGACUGAACCUCUGAAUCUGUAAGCCAGACCCAAUUAAAUGGUGUCUUUAUAAGAGUUGCCUUGGUCAUGGUGUCUGUUCACAGCAGUAAAACUGUAAGACAAGAGGUAAGAAACCUGGGAGGAAGGGGGACAGAUUCCUAUAUUAAAUGACCUUCAAAGUGCCCUUUUCUUUUGUUGUACCUAAACAACCUCAUUAGAAGGUAAGUUUUCCCAGAAUGUAUCUUGUACUUAUUCCUGAGUGUAGCCAGAAAUCUUCUAUAGACUGACUAUAAUGCAAGUGAAGGAUGCCUGGUAUCUUUUAUAAAUAUAUGAAUGACAAAACACAUCU